GAUGAAGAACGUAGCGAAAUGCGAUAAGUAAUGUGAAUUGCAGAAUUUAGCGAAUCAUCGAAUCUUUGAACGCACAUUGCGCCCCCUGGUAUUCCGGGGGGCAUGCCUGUCCGAGCGUCAUUACAACCCUCAAGCUCAGCUUGGUGUUGGGCCCCGCCGCCCCGGCGGGCCCUAAAGUCAGUGGCGGUGCCGUCCGGCUCCGAGCGUAGUAAUUCUUCUCGCUCUGGAGGUCCGGUCGUGUGCUCGCCAGCAACCCCCAAUUUUUUUCAGGUUGACCUCGGAUCAGGUAGGGAUACCCGCUGAACUUAAGCAUAUCAAUAAGCGGAGGA
rnacentral:misc_RNA from 1 species